UUAACCUGCAUCUUCUCCCAUAGUGAGGGCAUUGGUUUCCAGGUGGAAGGCGGUCUUGGUCGGGGUUGGCUUGACACACCUUCCUCUUGGCACGUUUCUCUCUUUCACCCUCCAUUCGUGCCUCUUCAAAUUCUGCAGCACUGCUGGUCACAGCUGACCUCCAGCUGGAGCACUGAAGGGCCAGGGCUUCCCAGUUCCAUUAGAUACAAUGGAGUAAUAAGAUGGUAUCCCUUAUGUAAAAUGGCAAAAUCAAGAUUUGCCUUUAAGACUUUUUCAAAAAUAUUUCCAAGCCAGAAAUAGUGACUGGUGGGAUCCAUGGAUGUAGAAUCUGUAGAUACAGAAGGCCAUUUACACUAAGUACACAAGGAGUAUGAUUUUGCACAAGAUAAAACUAUAAGGAAGAGAACUGGAAACUUUUUCCAGAAGAGUUGUAAUAAUUUGACUGACAAACUCUUCUGUAGGAAAGAAAGUACACAUCCCACGUGAAAAUACCCCAUCUAUGGAUGAUCUGAUCCUGCUUCACACAAAUCUAUUUGGAUUGUCAGCUUCCUGCUUAGAAAAUCCGAAACAAAGAGAAUACUGGCAUAAAUAGAUACAGGAAGGUAGCCUCAGUGGCUAAAAGAAACAUAUUGUCACUAGAUGUCCCAUUAGUGUUGCUUGGCAAAAUUUCGCAGAAGCCAACAAAACUGAGCAGCAACUGGGAUGGCUCUCUAUGGUACAGGAGAACGGAGGAGCAUUUUGAUGGUUGCAGUCAAUUCUGUUGCAGCAGGGGCUGAGGACAUAGUGAGGGCUGCAAACAGAUGAGUGGCAUCCAUUAGCUGAAUUCUCAUUCCUCCCUCUGUUUCCUCAUGAGAUGUGUGGGGCAGCGGAAAUGGCUGCUGUUCAAGACAUGGGGCAGAUCUACACUGACCACUUAACAUGGAUUGAAAGCAUCUAAAACACAGCAUCUAAAUGAUACAUGGUGCAAAUGCAUGCAGGUCUUAAACUGGGAUAAGCAAAAUUGGGGGGGGGGGUACUCUGAAGUAGGGCCUGUAAUGCAUGUCAGUAAAAACCACAUUGCGUGGCAAGACUAAUUAAAGGACAGGAGCUCCAAAAAUCUGUGCAUCGAAGUGAAGGAACUGGAGGGGGAAAACCCAUAUCCACCAGAAAUCCUGGAACUAGAUCAGAGCCAACCUCUGAUGGCUAUAAGCACCAACCAGGCCUUCACCCAGUUUCUAUACUUUAUAUGUAAUCAGGUGCAUGUUUGCUUUGUUUCAGCCUCUGCCGUUUCCAUCCCACAGUACCGGGUCAGUUGAGAACCACUGGUGUAGAUGUAUGUGCUCAUGGACCAUAACCUGUGAGAGUCUAAAGUCAGUGUCUGCAGCCCUUUCAAGACAGCAAAGAGGCUGAUACCAAAGGGCUUUGAAAAUUUAUGAAGUGGAAUUAAUCAGGUCCAGGCUUUUUUAUUUACUUUGCCCACAUCCCUGUGUGCUUUGGUUACACUCUGGCCCAAUGAAGAUUUCUGUGGCACUUAAACCUUAUGCAGUAUUUGGUGGCCUUCCAAUUGGCCUAUUAAAUGUACUACACUAGUGUGAGAUUUAGAGCCUUUUCUUCAAAAACUUGGCCAAGAGAUUGGGGGGUGGGGGGGGCAUAUUUCCACACCAUGGAUUUUCCCCUUUGGCAAUAAGCUUUCCAAUCAAUUUUUAAGAAUCCAUUAUUAAAAAUUAAUAAGAUUUGCCACUAUUUUUUCUGGUAGGGCACCUUAUUCUUUUUGUGACUGUAUAUUGGAUAAAUAUCUAAAAAGAAAUCUAGUUGUUAUUUCCCCUUCUCCAUUGCUGCAGUUCCAUGCUAGUAGAAGCCUUUCCUCCUACCUGUUUGCCUGGCACACAGUUGUUAAGGACAUAGAAGCCCUGCCAUUAACUUGGCUCUGUUUGCAAGCAAACAUUAUUUACAUGCUUAGGGAAAUUCUAGUAGCAUGAAAUGGAAACUUGUUCAUCGAUCUACAGAGCUGGUUGGUCCCAUUGUUUCAAACCACCUCAGCGUUGUUUUUGUUUUAAUUAUUAUUCUUUAUUUCCACUCAUGACUUUCUCUCUCAAGCACAUUUGUUACCUCAUAACUAAGAGAGACGGAGAGAAAAUAUAUUUAUUUUGAAACAAUGCCAAAUGCUGUAAUUUAAAAAAAUUAGGAAUUAGAAAAUGCUGUUUCAAUUAUACUGAGUAUGCUGUGAAGCUUAUUUAUGUACAUUUGGGUUCUCUACCCUGUUUAGGAAUUAGAAAAUGCUGUUCAGCUCAGAUUCAGUACAGCUGUAAAGCUAAUGUACAUUUGGAUUCUUUUGUCACUGACAGCAGCUGGUUUCUUGCAAACAUACAUCACAAUGGUUAAAUGAAUUUAUCACCUGCUGUGCUUCUGCAUAGGUGCUAAGUGACUGGAAAUUAGGUCCUUAUGGGCCCCCAGUUGAGCAAUACACAAAAUGCGGAAUGUGCCACUCUCCCAAGUGGAGCAACUUAAGAUACUACAGGAACAUUGAAGCAGUGUUCUUCAUCCAGCAGAAUGAAGAAGAAAGGAAAUGGGUCAAUAAUAAACAAAGCUUGGACUUCUGCUUCUUCUUUUUUAAAAAAAUGGAAUAAUUCUGAAAGAUGUUGCUCAUUUUCUAGAACAUAUGUGGGAGCUGGCCAUUUCACUUACAGUAAGGCUUUCAAACUACUUUCUCUUAACUCAAAUAAGUAAGUGGAAAGUGGGAUGCCAAAGCAAUGCUGUGGCCUUACUGCUCACAGCUACUUACAGUUAACCAUCUUAGAGCCUUUACUUGGUUCAAGAAGCAGACCUGACCCAGCCUUUUCAUCAAUAAAUUAUCGGAUCAAAGGAGAAAGCUUGGAGAAAGAGAAUACCUAAAAAUAUGAAACUAAAAGCUCUCUAUAUGUCCCUCUCUUGAGAUCGUAUGCUUUCUAGUCCCAGAUAUUGCCCUGUUAGCAUUUGAAGAAAUCUUAACAGAUGUUGUAACAUGCCAGUCACAUUUCGGACUUUUUCUUCACAACACGCCAAUUAAAGUAUUCUCUAGCAGA